rnacentral:rRNA from 1 species
GACGAACGCUGGCGGCGUGCUUAACACAUGCAAGUCGAACGAAGUGGCGAACGGGUGAGUAACGCGUAAUCAACCUGCCCUUCAGAGGGGGACAACAGUUGGAAACGACUGCUAAUACCGCAUACUGAAGGAGGGGAUUGCGUCUGAUUAGCUAGUUGGAGGGGUAACGGCCCACCAAGGCGAUGAUCAGUAGCCGGUCUGAGAGGAUGAACGGCCACAUUGGGACUGAGACACGGCCCAGACUCCUACGGGAGGCAGCAGUGGGGAAUCUUCCGCAAUGGACGAAAGUCUGACGGAGCAACGCCGCGUGAGUGAUGACGGCCUUCGGGUUGUAAAGCUCUGUUGUUAGAGAAGCGGUAUCUAACCAGAAAGCCACGGCUAACUACGUGCCAGCAGCCGCGGUAAUUC